UACGGAGGGCGCGAGCGUUUUUCGGAAUCACUGGGCGUAAAGCGCGUGUAGGCGGCCGAGCAAGUCGGAUGUGAAAUCCCGAGGCUCAACCUCGGAACUGCAUUCGAAACUGCUCGGCUCGAAUCCCGGAGAGGAUGGCGGAAUUCCCGGUGUAGGGGUGAAAUCCGUAGAUAUCGGGAGGAACACCAGUGGCGAAGGCGGCCAUCUGGACGGUGACUGACGCUGAGACGCGAAAGCGUGGGGAGCAAACAGG
rnacentral:rRNA from 1 species